CUUAGGCUAAUUGAUUAAACUUUCUGUGCUUCAGUUUCGUCAUCAGAAACACAGGGGUAAUAAUGGGCUUAAUUAUGGGGUUGUUGUGAAGAUUAAUGGAAUCAAUAUAAGCACAGUGCUUGGAAUGGUGCCUAGAACAUGCAGGUGACGUGAAAGGAAGAGAGAGGUCAACAUUAGAACCACCACAGCCCUACUCACGGUAGGCACAAGAUGGAAACAACCCAUGUGUCCAUCCACAGACGACUGGAAAAACAAAGUGUAGUGUAUUCAUGAAGUGGACUAUUAUUCUGCCAUAAAAAAGGAACGGAAUUUGGACACACAUUACAACGCUUCUUUAGUCCACUUAACAACAUCUAUAAUAAAAUAAAUUUCCUCUUCUGAGAAGAAGGCACUCUAUCACGAGAUACUUUGGUGGAGAAUUUUCGCUCACUGGGACCUCAUGAGAAAGUUGUAAGAAGCCCCCAGCAGAGACAGGAGUAGCAGACUCAAAUUCUACAGAAGUUAUGCAGAGCGUGAGGCAGCUCUGGAGGGAGAUGCGUUGUAAGCGAAUAUUAUACCUGCGUAAUUAUGCUGCCGUACAAAGCACUGUAUAUGCCAAAUAAAGUCA